GAUGAAGAACGUAGCGUAAUGCGAUAAGUAAUGUGAAUUGCAGAAUUCAGUGAAUCAUCGAAUCUUUGAACGCACAUUGCGCCCCCUGGUAUUCCGGGGGGCAUGCCUGUUCGAGCGUCAUUUCACCACUCAAGCCUCGCUUGGUAUUGGGCAACGCGGUCCGCCGCGUGCCUCAAAUCGACCGGCUGGGUCUUCUGUCCCCUAAGCGUUGUGGAAACUAUUCGCUAAAGGGUGUUCGGGAGGCUACGCCGUAAAACAACCCCAUUUCUAAGGUUGACCUCGGAUCAGGUAGGGAUACCCGCUGAACUUAAGCAUAUCAAUAAGCGGAGGA
rnacentral:misc_RNA from 1 species